rnacentral:misc_RNA from 1 species
GGCAUUCCAAAGCAACAUUAAUCAAUAGUGUUCUUUAUAGAAUAACAAGUACAAGCUGGGGAAAUGCCAAUAAGCACAUGGAGAGAUAUAAAGAGCAAUAAACAUCAUAUCAAAGACCAUCUAAAGGUCUAGUUUGCAUAAUGUAAUAUUCAGGAAACAAUCACCAUGAUAUAACAACAACCGGAAGUGAAAGCAUACUUGCUUCAACUUCUACAUAUGAUUUAUGAUAUAUUGUCCUUGUAGAUAUAAUAUUUAUAGCAUAUUGAAAGUGCCUGAAGCCAGCCAUAACAAGAUGACAGAAGAGAGGGAGCGUGGUGGGGUUUUUGUUCCUUCACCGGAUUUGGGAUCGUUUGUAAGUAGCAGAAUUCCCUGGUAUGGUUAUCUGAUAUUUGCCUCUUUCAUCAGCUUGCCUGAACUGGCUAUCCUUUAGCUGAGCUUGACCACCAAACGACCCUUUGCGGCUCGACCCUUCCCCGUAGGAUUCAGCUGAGCUUUUCCUGCGCCUCUCAUUGUGUCCUGCUAAACGCCUGCGGCAACUCCUUUUUGCUUCAUCAAACUCUGAUAGCUCAUGGAACCUGCUGCAUUGUUGACAAAACCUCUGCCUAAGGCCAGCAACAAUUACGGCUGGUGCCUUUGCAUGAAUCUCACAAACUUUAUGUCGCCUAUGGUACCUUUUAGCCUCAGUUAAAUCAGCUCCACAUUUCUCCACCUGGCAAGACGGCGGCGAUGCCCCACCGCUACUCCCUCUCUUCCCAUGCACCAUACCAACUCCUUUCUUCUUGUCAUCAUCAACAAAACCACCACUUCCCUCUUCCUCUUCCAUAUCGUCCUCUAAAUCCUCAUCAACAAUGCAAUCUUCUCUGAUGAUCACUUUCUCUUUGGAACCGCGCUUCCCUUCAAGGGCUUUGGCAUCCAUUGUGAAAGAGCUGGCUAGGCAAGUGAUGUGUGAUACUUGAAGUACUUAAUGAAGGUUGCAGAGAGAGAGAGAAAGAGAGAAGGUAAUGAAAGCCAAAAGCCACGCCUGGGAAUGAGGAGAAGAGAUGAAGAUGAUAUAGAAGAUGGUUUUCUUUUUUUACUUCUUUCUUCCACAUGAUCUUAUAAGGACAUAAACACACACAUACGCUACACUCGUGCAAGUAGGUCCAAGGUGG